rnacentral:misc_RNA from 1 species
GGCGGCUAUCAGCUCAACCCAAAAGCUAAACCAACACCCCCGUAGUAUCCUGAUUCUGGCUGGCAACCCAAGCUCUUUGGUCUUUAGCCCUGUUCCUGUUAUUGGUUGUUUGGAUUAGUCUCUUCACUGAAAACACCAUAGAGCUCACCAUCGAUUCUCAUCAAGUGAGGGCCGAGUCAUCUGAUUGAAUUUGGCGAGUGAAGGAGGAAGAGAUGUCGUUUAAGUUGAGGAGCGUGAAGGUGCCGGCGAACUCGGCGAGUCUGGAAGAGGCAAGGGCUCGGGUCUUCGAUUUCUUCAGAACGGCCUGCAGAUCCAUUCCCCAAAU